rnacentral:lncRNA from 1 species
UUUGCCCUUACAUUUGUACAGGAAUGUAUCAGCCAAUCUGGCAUCUAGGGCACACAUCUAACAAACUCCCACUUGAUCUAAUGCCAAUUAGCUACAUAUCUAAGUUCCAUCUUCUUAAGGUGGGCUUCGAUCUUUUGCUGGCCUAAUGGCUUUGUUAGUGGGUCUGCCACAUUGUCUGUGGAGUCGACUCUCUUAACCUUGACAUAACCUUUUCAAGGUAAUCAUGAAUC